GGUCCAAAUUUGAAGUAGGGUGGAUUAGUAGGAUCAGCUGACAAUACUAAUCGACUCUAUUUCAAGUUUGUGCAC
rnacentral:pre_miRNA from 1 species